rnacentral:rRNA from 1 species
UACGAAGGGGGCUAGCGUUGCUCGGAAUCACUGGGCGUAAAGGGUGCGUAGGCGGUUCUUUAAGUCAGGGGUGAAAUCCUGGAGCUCAACUCCAGAACUGCCUUUGAUACUGAGGAUCUUGAGUACGGGAGAGGUGAGUGGAACUGCGAGUGUAGAGGUGAAAUUCGUAGAUAUUCGCAAGAACACCAGUGGCGAAGGCGGCUCACUGGCCCGUAACUGACGCUGAGGCACGAAAGCGUGGGGAGCAAACAGG